rnacentral:misc_RNA from 1 species
AUUCUCUCUAUUCUCUUCUCCCUAGAACUCUAUUUCUAUUCUUUCUACUGCUUGAGAUCCUGUUGUUAGGGAUUCUGCUACAUGAUAGAUUCUUAAGUCACAUAACUGCGAUCACACUUUCCAAUUCCAACCAACAUGCGUUAAUCUUAUAAGUGGCAUUCUUCUCACUCUACGCAUCCCUUUGUAUAACAGAACCUAUGUAUUGAAAAUUAAUGAUUCAAUGCACGUCUACUCCAUCUAGUUUAACUACCCUUCUCAUGCUUUCUCUUACCUUAAGAAAUUGUGAUGCAUAUAUUCAAUUUUAAGGGGUGUUUGGUUCACCUUUUAAG